rnacentral:tRNA from 1 species
GCGGAUAUGGUGGAAUUGGUAGACACGUAGCCUUGAGGGGGCUAUGACUUAGGUCGUGAGAGUUCAAGUCUCUCUAUCCGCA